rnacentral:rRNA from 1 species
AAAGGAGCGAUCCGGUGACGGAUGGGCAUGCGUGACAUUAGCUAGUCGGCGGGGUAACGGCCCACCGAGGCGACGAUGUCUAGGGGUUCUGAGAGGAAGGUCCCCCACACUGGUACUGAGACACGGACCAGACUCCUACGGGAGGCAGCAGUGAGGAAUAUUGGUCAAUGGGCUUACGCCUGAACCAGCCAAGUCGCGUGAGGGAAGACUGCCCUAUGGGUUGUAAACCUCUUUUGUCAGGGAGCAACGCCGGCUACGUGUAGCCGGACUGAGAGUACCUGAAGAAAAAGCAUCGGCUAACUCCGUGCCAGCAGCCGCGGUAAUACGGAGGAUGCGAGCGUUAUCCGGAUUUAUUGGGUUUAAAGGGUGCGUAGGCGGAAUGCCAAGUCAGCGGUAAAAUCGCGGGGCUCAACCUCGCUCCGCCGUUGAAACUGGCGUUCUUGAGUGGGCGAGAAGUAUGCGGAAUGCGUGGUGUAGCGGUGAAAUGCAUAGAUAUCACGCAGAACUCCGAUUGCGAAGGCAGCAUACCGGCGCCCAACUGACGCUGAAGCACGAAAGCGUGGGUAUCGAACAGGAUUAGAUACCCUGGUAGCCCACGCAGUAAACGAUGAAUACUAGCUGUUCGGGGCAAAUGAGCCUUGA